rnacentral:sRNA from 1 species
GCGGAGGAAAAGAAACCAACAGGGAUUGCCCUAGUAACGGCGAGUGAAGCGGCAACAGCUCAAAUUUGAAAUCUGGCUCUCUUUGGGGGUCCGAGUUGUAAUUUGCAGAGGAUGCUUUGGCAUUGGCGGCGGUCUAAGUUCCUUGGAACAGGACAUCGCAGAGGGUGAGAAUCCCGUACGUGGGCGCCUGCCUUUGCCGUGUAAAGCUCCUUCGACGAGUCGAGUUGUUUGGGAAUGCAGCUCUAAAUGGGAGGUAAAUUUCUUCUAAAGCUAAAUACCGGCCAGAGACCGAUAGCGCACAAGUAGAGUGAUCGAAAGAUGAAAAGUACUUUGGAAAGAGAGUCAAAAAGCACGUGAAAUUGUUGAAAGGGAAGCGCUUGCAGCCAGACUUGCCCGCAGUUGCUCACCUAGGCUUUGGCCUGGGGCACUCUUCUGCGGGCAGGCCAGCAUCAGUUUGGGCGGUCGGACAAAGGCCUCUGUCAAGUAUCUCCCUUCGGGGUGACCUUAUAGGGGAGGCGUAAUGCGACCAGCCCGGACUGAGGUCCGCGCAUCUGCUAGGAUGCUGGCGUAAUGGCUGUAAGCGGCCCGUCUUGAAACACGGACCAAGGAGUCUAACAUCUAUGCGAGUGUUUGGGUGUCAAGCCCGGGCGCGCAAUGAAAGUGAACGGAGGUGGGAACCCUUUGGGUGCACCAUCGACCGAUCCUGAUGUCUUCGGAUGGAUUUGAGUAAGAGCAUAGCUGUUGGGACCCGAAAGAUGGUGAACUAUGCUUGAAUAGGGUGAAGCCAGAGGAAACUCUGGUGGAGGCUCGCAGCGGUUCUGACGUGCAAAUCGAUCGUCAAAUUUGGGCAUAGGGGCGAAAGACUAAUCGAACCAUCUAGUAGCUGGUCCUGC